UUUGUUGUUUUGUAGGGCACACGGUGGAUGCCUUGGCAUAUCAAGCCGAUGAAGGACGUGAGAGGCUGCGUUAUGCCUCGGGGAGUUGCCAACUAAGCGUUGAUCCGAGGAUGUCCGAAUGGGGAAACCCAGCCGCAGUGAUGUGUGGUUACCUGCCAGUGAAUGUAUAGCUGGUGUGGAGGUUUACACGGGGAAGUGAAACAUCUCAGUACCCGUAGGAGAAGAAAACAAUUGUGAUUCCGUUAGUAGUGGCGAGCGAACGUGGAUGAUGGCUAAAACUUAUGUGUGUGAUACCCGGCAGGGGUUGCAUGUAGGUGGUUGUGGGGCAAUGACGUUCAUAUUCUGCCGGAUGUGGGCAUGUGCUGCGUGGUUAGUGGAAGUGGUGUGGAAACACCUGCCGUAGAAGGUGAGAGUCCUGUACACGAAGAUCAUGGUGGUGUGUGUGGUUGUUGAUACCCCGAGUAGCAGCGGGCUCGUGGAAUCUGCUGUGAAUUAGCCGGGACCACCCGGUAAGCCUGAAUACUUGAUAUGACCGAUAGCGGAUUAGUACCGUGAGGGAAUGGUGAAAAGUACCCCGGGAGGGGAGUGAAAUAGUACCUGAAACCGUGUGCUGUCAAUCCGUCAGAGCAUCCUUUGUGGUGUGAUGGCGUGCCUUUUGAAGAAUGAGCCUGCGAGUCAGCGGCAUGUCGCGAGGUUAACCCGUGUGGGGUAGCCGUAGGGAAACCGAAUCCUAACGAGGGUGAUUUUAGUGGCAUGUCUUGGACCCGAAGCGGAGUGAUCUACCCAUGGCCAGUGCGAACCCACUUAGGUUGAAAACUGAGGGGAUGAGUUGUGGGUAGGGGUGAAAGGCCAAUCAAACUCCGUGAUAGCUGGUUCUCCCCGAAAUGCAUUUAGGUGCAGCGUCGUGUGUUUCUUGCCGGAGGUAGAGCUACUGGAUGGUUUAGCGGGACCAACAUCUUAGCGACAUCAGCCAAACUCCGAAUGCCGGUAAGUUAGAGCACGGCAGUGAGACUGCGGGGGAUAAGCUUCGUAGUCGAGAGGGAAACAGCCCAGAUCGCCGGCUAAGGCCCCUAAGGGUGUGCUAAGUGGAAAAGGAGGUGGGGUCGCGAAGACAGCCAGGAGGUUGGCUUAGAAGCAGCCAUCCUUGAAAGAGUGCGUAAUAGCUCACUGGUCGAGUGAUUCCGCGCCGACAAUGUAGUGGGGCUUAAGUACACCGCCGAAGCCGCGGCAAUGAUCUUUAUAGGAUUGUUGGGUAGGGGAGCGUCGUGCAUGCGUUGAAGCUUUGGGGUGACCUUGGGUGGAGUGUGUGCGAGUGAGAAUGCAGGCAUGAGUAACGAAUGAUGCGUGAGAAACGUAUCCGCCGGAUGACUAAGGGUUCCUGGGUCAAGUUAAUCUUCCCAGGGUGAGUCGGGGCCUAAGGCGAGGCCGACAGGCGUAGUCGAUGGAUAACGGGUUGAUAUUCCCGUACCCGAGUAUGAGCGACCAUGGUGAAUCAGUGAUACUAACCACCCAUAAGCACCCGCGAAAAGGCUUUGCUUUUUUGUGGUGUGUGGUUGCGUGGGACCUGAUCUGGUAGUAGCUA
rnacentral:rRNA from 1 species